ACGGAGGGGGCUAGCGUUGUUCGGAAUUACUGGGCGUAAAGGGCGCGUAGGCGGAUUAGUAAGUUGGGAGUGAAAGCCCGGGGCUUAACCUCGGAACUGCUUUCAAAACUGCUAGUCUAGAGUGAAGUAGGGGGUGAUGGAAUUCCUAGUGUAGAGGUGAAAUUCUUAGAUAUUAGGAGGAACACCGGUGGCGAAGGCGGUCACCUGGACUUCAACUGACGCUGAGGCGCGAAAGCGUGGGGAGCAAACAGG
rnacentral:rRNA from 1 species